rnacentral:ncRNA from 2 species
UAUGUCCGCUGGGGGAGCCUGAAAAGGCUGAGACGGCAGAAAUGCCGAACCCUUGGAACCUGAUGAGGGUAAUGCCUCCGUAGGGAAUGCGGGCUCAAAAGGCA